CACGUAUUUAGCCGGAGCUUUCUUCUAUGGUACUGUCAUUAUCUUCCCAUAGGACAGAACUUUACGAUACGAAUACCUUCUUCGUUCACGCGGCGUCGCUGCAUCACGGGUUUCCCCCAUUGUGCAAUAUUCCCCACUGCUGCCUCCCGUAGGAGUUUGGACCGUGUCUCAGUUCCAAUGUGGCCGUUCAUCCUCUCAGACCGGCUACUGAUCGUCGCCUUGGUGGGCUGUUAUCUCACCAACUAGCUAAUCAGACGCGAGCCCAUCUAUGACCGAUAAAUCUUUAGACCGUUAAAACAUGUGUUUCUACGUAUUUUAUGCGGUAUUAACUCCCGGUUUCCGAGGCUAUCCCACUGUCAGUAGGCAGGUUGCUCACGUCGUUACUCCUACCCGUUCGCCACUCUCAUUAGUAAUCUUCCACGAGGCUUCUGUUUACUAAUCCCGUUCGACUUGCUAUGUAGUUAAGCACGCCGUCCAGUCGUUCGUCCUUGACGCCAGGA
rnacentral:rRNA from 1 species